UUUCCACUGUUCAGGGGGAAGUAAGAGGAGAGGGGACAUGGGGCAGCCCCACAACCAGUCUGGCAAGUCACCCCUUAGGCGCUCUCGACAUGCCACGGAACGAAACCGGUCCAGGAUCCUUUGUAGCCUGCAAGCAGUGCCAGUUUGCAUGGAACGGAGUUCU